AAUAAGGAAGAUUGCUGGGAGCCAGGCUGCAAGGGCAGCCUCUCUGCACCCACUGCCCCCAGCAUAAACAUUGAAGAAUUCCUGAAAAGUCAGGAAGAGCCAGGCUGCAAGGGCGGCCCCUCUGCACCCACUGCCCCCAGCAUAAACAUCGAAGAAUUCCUGAAAAGUCAGGAAUAUCUCUGUCAUCUGUGUUAUGUGUCUAUUUCAUUUUCAGCCUGUGUAUAGCAGAAUGUAUAAGCAUAAAAUUCCAUUAUAGAUUUAGGGACCUUUGGACGGGGGGCGUCCUACUCAUAAUCCCCUGGUGAAAUCUCGGGUAGGGACAGCCCGUGUGUUACUUGGGGAUCAACAUGAAGUUGUCUUAGGGGAAAAACAAAUAGCUCGACUAUGGAAAACAAGAAUAGGAUGGUGAAAUCCUGGUAUUUACCAAGGCCCCUUUUGUGAUUAAACCACCACCCACACAUGAUCCCAUAAAAGUAGAAAAACAAAAGGCAGUGAGUUCUCUCAGCCAAUUUCUCAGCCAAUUACAGGUCAACCUUCUCGUCUACCCCGCUCACUGCUGCGCUUGACUGGUCUUUGGGUAUAGAGAUUGGGCUAAUUGUCCUUGGCAUAAUCGUGGACAAUAUGAUGUAACCCAAAGUGGCUGGACUUCAAGAACUUGACCACCCUGGACAAGAUGGACAAAGCCUAUGUGGCAAUGGUUUUGCAAAAAGAUUAAUUGUUAUAAAAACUGUGGAAGGUAUUGCAAGAUUAAGCAUAAGUGUAAAGCAGUGUGAAGUCAAUUGUUACUCUAAAUCAACUAAACAAAAGCUCAUUGUAUUUGUGUGUGUAUGCGGAACUGUACUAUGUGUCACUUGGAAAAUUAUGUCUCUGGGAAAUAAUGUUUAUGAUUAUAUCUUGUACUGCCCCUUUGUUGAUCAUGCGAUGUUAUGCUUUUGUAAGCUUAUGAUAUAAAAGACCAUGUAAAAAAUAAAGAGCAGAGGCUUCUUUUUCUGCAGAAUGAAAAUAUAAGACACUCUACCGCUCGUUCUUUUUUCGCCGAACUCUACCCCUCCUCUGGUAACCCUGUUCAUUGCUGAGGCUGGCCCCCGGCAACUGGCGCCCGAACAGGGACCUGAAGGACGAAACUUCCCCUUUGUGGAUACCCGACAGACUCAUCAGACAUGCAAGACCCAAAAACCACCAAAAUUCCUCCAACACUUCCCCCCUCACUGCUCACAAACCUAACACCUCCCACGACUCUUCUGAGAAAUCUGUCUCUUGAAAAUGCUCCAUCUACACCCCCACCUUCGCCUGUCUCUAGUUCUCCCUCCUCUUCAUCUUCUACUCCACCCCUUCUCACUGACUUUAUACAACCCUCUACAAACCUCAACAACUCUUCAUCUCGAGACAAAGUGCGGUGGAGAAGCCGGAGACAUACUCCCUAUUCAAGAACCCAUCAAACCAUUGCGGCUGAGCCCCCAACUUGGGGCCAACUCAAAAAACUUACUCAUCUGGCUCACAUCUUAACCGUGGAUCAACAUAUUCCCGUAAAUGCGGGUACUCUUUUUGUGGCAAUGCUCGCUAUCAUUUCCUGUCAGUCAUCUUCCGAAUCUUAAAUCAAGCUAUCCAAAAGGUGGCUUCAGAUCUUCAUAUAGCGAAAUUAAAAAAUAAAAAAGGGGGAGAUGCUGGGAGCCAGGCUGCAAGGGCAGCCUCUCUGCACCCACUGCCCCCAGCAUAAACAUUGAAGAAUUCCUGAAAAGUCAGGAAGAGCCAGGCUGCAAGGGCGGCCCCUCUGCACCCACUGCCCCCAGCAUAAACAUCGAAGAAUUCCUGAAAAGUCAGGAAUAUCUCUGUCAUCUGUGUUAUGUGUCUAUUUCAUUUUCAGCCUGUGUAUAGCAGAAUGUAUAAGCAUAAAAUUCCAUUAUAGAUUUAGGGACCUUUGGACGGGGGGCGUCCUACUCAUAAUCCCCUGGUGAAAUCUCGGGUAGGGACAGCCCGUGUGUUACUUGGGGAUCAACAUGAAGUUGUCUUAGGGGAAAAACAAAUAGCUCGACUAUGGAAAACAAGAAUAGGAUGGUGAAAUCCUGGUAUUUACCAAGGCCCCUUUUGUGAUUAAACCACCACCCACACAUGAUCCCAUAAAAGUAGAAAAACAAAAGGCAGUGAGUUCUCUCAGCCAAUUUCUCAGCCAAUUACAGGUCAACCUUCUCGUCUACCCCGCUCACUGCUGCGCUUGACUGGUCUUUGGGUAUAGAGAUUGGGCUAAUUGUCCUUGGCAUAAUCGUGGACAAUAUGAUGUAACCCAAAGUGGCUGGACUUCAAGAACUUGACCACCCUGGACAAGAUGGACAAAGCCUAUGUGGCAAUGGUUUUGCAAAAAGAUUAAUUGUUAUAAAAACUGUGGAAGGUAUUGCAAGAUUAAGCAUAAGUGUAAAGCAGUGUGAAGUCAAUUGUUACUCUAAAUCAACUAAACAAAAGCUCAUUGUAUUUGUGUGUGUAUGCGGAACUGUACUAUGUGUCACUUGGAAAAUUAUGUCUCUGGGAAAUAAUGUUUAUGAUUAUAUCUUGUACUGCCCCUUUGUUGAUCAUGCGAUGUUAUGCUUUUGUAAGCUUAUGAUAUAAAAGACCAUGUAAAAAAUAAAGAGCAGAGGCUUCUUUUUCUGCAGAAUGAAAAUAUAAGACACUCUACCUCUCAUUCUUCUUUUUCGCCGAACUCUACCCCUCCUCUGGUAACCCUGUUCAUUGCUGAGGCUGGCCCCCGGCAGAAGAUCAAAGAAGAAUUGAUUCUUUUCAAUUAUGCUUUUGGCAAACAAUAUCGAAUAAACCAUGGACUGCCAAAAGGACAAAGAAAUCUGUCUUGGAGGAAGUACAACCAGAAUGCGUCUUGGAGGCUAAGAUGGCAAGACUAAGUCUCAUUUACUUUGGACAUGUUAUCAGGAGGGAUCAGUCCCUGGAAAAGGACAUCAUGCUUGCUAAAGUAGAGGAUUAGCAAAAAAGAAGACCCUCAAUGAGAUGGAUGGGCAGAGUGGCUGCAACAAUGGGCCCAAGCAUAACAGUGGUUGUGAGGAUGGUAUAGGACCAGGCAGUGUUUUCUUUUGUUGUUCGUAGGGUCACUAUGAGUUGGAACUGACUGACUCACGGGCACCUAACAACAACAGCAACAAUGACAAAAGAUAUUGAGCAUACUUUCAUGUGGUUAUUGGACAUUUGUAUAUUUUUCUUGGGAGAAAUGUCUAUUCAAGUUCUUUACCCAUGUUUUAUUUGAGUCAUCUAGUGUUGUUAUAACAGAAAUACCACACGUGGAUGGCUUUUAC